rnacentral:rRNA from 1 species
CUCUAAGGCCAUACCACCCUGAACAUGUCUGAUCUCGUCUGAUCUCAGAAGCUAAGCAGGGUUGGGCCUGGUUAGUACUUGGAUGGGAGACAGUGGCAGGCACAAUGCAUUCAAGU